rnacentral:rRNA from 1 species
UACGGAGGGAGCUAGCGUUGUUCGGAAUUACUGGGCGUAAAGCGCGCGUAGGCGGCUUGGUAGGUCUCGCGUCAAAACCUGAGGCUCAACCUCAGUUCGCGUGGGAAACCACCUAGCUAGAGUCCGGAAGAGGAGAACGGAAUUCCCAGUGUAGCGGUGAAAUGCGCAGAUAUUGGGAAGAACACCAGUGGCGAAGGCGGUUCUCUGGGACGGUACUGACGCUGAGACGCGAAAGCGUGGGGAGCGAACAGG